AGGUCGUCAUGUCUAGUAUAAGCAUCUAUACUGUGAAACUGCGAAUGGCUCAUUAAAUCAGUUAUCGUUUAUUUGAUAGUACCUUACUACUUGGAUAACCGUGGUAAUUCUAGAGCUAAUACAUGCUAAAAACCCCGACUUCGGAAGGGGUGUAUUUAUUAGAUAAAAAACCAAUGCCCUUCGGGGCUCCUUGGUGAAUCAUGAUAACUUAACGAAUCGCAUGGCCUUGUGCCGGCGAUGGUUCAUUCAAAUUUCUGCCCUAUCAACUUUCGAUUGUAGGAUAGAGGCCUACAAUGGUUUCAACGGGUAACGGGGAAUUAGGGUUCUAUUCCGGAGAGGGAGCCUGAGAAACGGCUACCACAUCCAAGGAAGGCAGCAGGCGCGCAAAUUACCCAAUCCCGAUACGGGGAGGUAGUGACAAUAAAUACUGAUACAGGGCUCUUUUGGGUCUUGUAAUUGGAAUGAGUACAAUUUAAAUCUCUUAACGAGGAACAAUUGGAGGGCAAGUCUGGGCCCGGCAGCCAAAG
rnacentral:rRNA from 1 species